rnacentral:rRNA from 1 species
GACGAACGCUGGCGGCGUGCUUAACACAUGCAAGUCGAACGAUGAAGAAGAGAAACGCGAACUUCGGUUCAAAUUUCACUUCGGAUUAGUGGCAGACGGGUGAGUAACGCGUGAGCAACCUACCUCUUACAAAGGGAUAGCCUCGGGAAACCGUGAUUAAUACCAUAUGACACAUUCAUAAGGCAUCUUAAGAAUGUUAAAGCUACGGCGGUAAGAGAUGGGCUCGCGUCCCAUUAGCUAGUUGGUGAGGUAACGGCCCACCAAGGCGACGAUGGGUAACCGGCCUGAGAGGGUGAACGGUCACAUUGGAACUGAGACACGGUCCAAACUCCUACGGGAGGCAGCAGUGGGGAAUAUUGCACAAUGGAGGGAACUCUGAUGCAGCGACGCCGCGUGAGCGAUAAAGGAAUUCGUUUCGUAAAGCUCUGUUCUAUGGGAAGAAAAGGACUGUACCAUAGGAGAAAGCCCCGGCUAAAUACGUG